rnacentral:rRNA from 1 species
GACGAACGCUGGCGGCGUGCUUAACACAUGCAAGUCGAACGGAAAGGCCCUGCUUUUGUGGGGUGCUCGAGUGGCGAACGGGUGAGUAACACGUGAGUAACCUGCCCUUGACUUUGGGAUAACUUCAGGAAACUGGGGCUAAUACCGGAUAGGAGCUCCUGCUGCAUGGUGGGGGUUGGAAAGUUUCGGCGGUUGGGGAUGGACUCGCGGCUUAUCAGCUUGUUGGUUGGGUAGUGGCUUACCAAGGCUUUGACGGGUAGCCGGCCUGAGAGGGUGACCGGCCACAGUGGGACUGAGAUACGGCCCAGACUCCUACGGGAGGCAGCAGUGGAGAAUAUUGCACAAUGGGCGGAAGCCUGAUGCAGCAACGCCGCGUGCGGGAUGACGGCCUUCGGGUUGUAAACCGCGUUCGCCUGUGACGAAGCGUGAGUGACGGUAAUGAAUAAAGAAGCACCGGCUAACUACGUG